AACAUGGUUACUAAACUUUAACCACAAAAAAAACAUUCAUUUUCGUAAGGGGAAUAUGAGUGUUUGUUUUUUUGUAGUUUUUGAGUCAAUUGCAUACCGCUUUUAGCUGUACACAUUAAUUAACUUAAACAGUUUUCGUAAAUGCAUUUCAGAGAAAAGUGAAUUCUCAGAUUUGAAUAAUGCAUCUGACGUGUGGGAUGACGUCACGACGCACGUAUUUUGAUUUUUACCAGUUGUUCAAGACAGACGGAUUCAGUCCCAAGAAGCUAAAGUUUUUCAAAGACAUUUGUAGGGAGGACUUUGCAGCUAAUGAUUUCCUACGGCUGAACCAAAACCUGCCAGACUAAAGUUGAUUUGGGAGAGAAAGACGUUGUAAACUAGGGCUGCACGAUAAAUCGCAUGCGAUACCACGCGCAUCACGUCAGUAAUGCCGGUUCCCUGAUUAGUAUUAAAUCGCCAUCAGCUGUUUUCAGAUGGAGCAGCACUAACUACACAGAGCCUUAAG